rnacentral:piRNA from 1 species
UGGGAGCUUCAAAAAAGGUCGCCCCAC